rnacentral:rRNA from 1 species
GAUGAACGCUGGCGGCGUGCCUAAUACAUGCAAGUCGAGCGGACGGACGAGGCUUGCUCCUUUCUUAAGUUGGCGGCGGGUGGGUGAGGCAUAGGUGGAUAACCUAUCUAUAGGACUGGGAUAACGUCGGGAAACCGGAGCUAAUACCGGAUCAUAGUUUGAAAGGGAUGGAUCAAAAGAGAAAGACCGUCUUGCUGACACUAAUAGAUGGAUCCUGGUUGCAUUAGCUAGUUGGUAAGGUAAAGGCUUACCAAGGCGACGAUGCGUAGCCGACCUGAGAGGAUGAUCGGCCACACUGGAACUGAGACACGGUCCAGACUCCUACGGGAGGCAGCAGUAGGGAAUAUUCCGCAAUGGGCGAAAGCCUGACGGAGCCACGCCGCGUGAGUGAAGAAGGUCUUCGGAUUGUAAAACACUGUUAGUAGGGAAGAACAUAAGUAUAAGUAAAUGUUCAUGUCUUGACGGUACCUAAUGAAUAAGCCACGGCUAACUACGUG